rnacentral:rRNA from 1 species
CUACGAGGGGCUGCAGUAGGGAAUCUUAGACAAUGGGGGAAACCCUGAUCUAGCCAUGCCGCGUGAGUGAUGAAGGCCUUAGGGUUGUAAAGCUCUUUCGCUGGGGAAGAUAAUGACGGUACCCAGUAAAGAAACCCCGGCUAACUCCGUGCCAGCAGCCGCGGUAAUACGGAGGGGGUUAGCGUUGUUCGGAAUUACUGGGCGUAAAGCGCGCGUAGGCGGGCUAUUAAGUCAGGGGUGAAAUCCCGGGGCUCAACCCCGGAACUGCCUUUGAUACUGGUAGUCUUGAGUUCGAGAGAGGUGAGUGGAAUUCCGAGUGUAGAGGUGAAAUUCGUAGAUAUUCGGAGGAACAUCAGUGGCGAAGGCGAUUCACUGGCUCGAUACUGACGCUGAGGUGCGAAAGUGUGGGGAGCAAACAGGAUUAGAUACCCGUGUAGUC